rnacentral:rRNA from 1 species
UACGGGGGGGGGCAAGCGUUGUUCGGAAUUACUGGGCGUAAAGGGCUCGUAGGCGGCCAACUAAGUCAGACGUGAAAUCCCUCGGCUUAACCGGGGAACUGCGUCUGAUACUGGAUGGCUUGAGUUUGGGAGAGGGAUGCGGAAUUCCAGGUGUAGCGGUGAAAUGCGUAGAUAUCUGGAGGAACACCGGUGGCGAAGGCGGCAUCCUGGACCGAGAUUGACGCUGAGGCGCGAAAGCCAGGGGAGCAAACGGGG